GACGGGGGGGGCGAGUGUUCUUCGGAAUGACUGGGCGUAAAGCGCACGUAGGCGGCUUCUUAAGUCAGGGGUGAAAUCCUGGAGCUCAACUCCAGAACUGCCUUUGAUACUGAGGAGCUCGAGUCCGGAAGAGGUGAGUGGAACUGCGAGUGUAGAGGUGAAAUUCGUAGAUAUUCGCAAGAACACCAGUGGCGAAGGCGGCUCACUGGUCCGGUACUGACGCUGAGGUGCGAAAGCGUGGGGAGCAAACAGG
rnacentral:rRNA from 1 species